rnacentral:ncRNA from 1 species
UUGAAAGCUAAGACGGAGAGAAAAAUACCAUGUUUUUAUCUAAAGAGAGCUAAUAUUUGGUGAAAGUUAGUGUUAAAAAGGUAUAUAAUGAUCACUCCAGAGCUGCUGAACUGAAAAAGCUUCUUUUAGUAGGUGAGGACGGUAGUCACCGAUAAAUGACUAGGGGCUAAGUAAAAAUACUUCGGCCUGAUAAUGAGGCAUUUUUCUGAGUGCAAAUUAGGGUGGUACCACGAAUAUUAAUCCUUCGUCCCUAUG